rnacentral:sRNA from 1 species
UCCUAAACCCGGUAGUAACGGAAAUCCUUUUUAUUGCCUGAACGGAAAAUUUAUUUAAGCUUUUCGCAUGUAGGCUAGAAUUGCAAUAAAAAGAUUGGAGUGGAUAACGGGGCUACAG